GCACCGGUAGUGUUCGGAACAUGCCGUCAUCAUGUACGGAAAUCAUAAGGUAAGUAGCAGGCGAUACGGGGUUCGAUUCCCCGCUGGUGCA